rnacentral:rRNA from 1 species
UACGGGGGGAGCAAGCGUUGUUCGGAUUUACUGGGCGUAAAGGGCGCGUAGGCGGUAGCACAAGUCAGUUGUGAAAUCUCCGGGCUUAACUCGGAAAGGUCAACUGAUACUGUGCGACUAGAGUGCAGAAGGGGCGACUGGAAUUCUCGGUGUAGCGGUGAAAUGCGUAGAUAUCAAGAGGAACACCUGAGGUGAAGACGGGUUGCUGGGCCGACACUGACGCUGAGUGCGCGAAAGCCAGGGGAGCAAACGGG